GGCCGCCUGGCGAAAUGGCAUCGCGUCUGACUACGAGCGCUCAAGAUCAGGAGAUUGCAGGUUCGACCCCUGCGGUGGUCA